ACCCUGUCUCUUGAAAAAAAAAGAAAAAGAAAAGAAAAGAAGAAGGGAAAAAAGAAUAUACUUUAAAACAUUUAUAGUUUUUAUCCUUUAGUAUAGAUUUCAGUCAUUCUCAAAUUCUGCUGUUGUCUGUAAAUCCUCUGGGCAAGUGACUGAGCUUUAUGGACACUACAUCACUAGUAUAGUCUUUAGUCCUGAUUUUAAUGUUCAAGUUGGGCUAAAUGAGGGUAAAUAGCCUCUAUAUAGUAUUCUGUCUUAAUAAGACUUAUUUGCUGGGUAUGCUGCAAGUUACAGAAAGAUAACAUAUUUCAAAGACUGAAAGAAUCACCUGUAUUGUGAGUACACUAUUUGCAAUAACUAAAACUAGACAUUCUGAACUGAAAGCUUAAAAGUAUAGUGGGCUCUUCAGGUGGUACAUAGAAACUAGAGCAAAUGAAGGAAAUGAUGACAAUAGAUCCCAAAAACUGAUGAAUAUGCUCUAUGACAAAAUUUAAACAAGAUUUAAAAUGUUAAUUAUAAAAUCUAUGAUGGUUGAUAGUGAAAUGAAUUACUUUUCUAUUAUGAAGGAGAUACACAAAAACACCAAAUCACUGUAAGAAAAAGAGAUUCCUUUAUUGAAUAAAGCUAAGUGUGAGACGUAUGGGGAGUCAUGAAGUCAAGAUCCUGACUCUGAGUGUAAAGAAAUAGAAGCAUAAGAUACUACCACAGCAUUCCAGAGGAUAUGCUCUUGCUUCUCGAAUGCUUACCUCGAGUUAUUGAAGGAAUCAUGUUUGCUUUAUAUACGUAUCUAUUUCUUAUGUGCAUAAUUAAGAAUUUGUUAAAGAAAUCUAGGGCUGACAAAUCCCAUAAAGAAGUUACCUAAAUUCUUUUUCUUUGGGAUAAAAAUAUCUCUAGGCUGCUGCUGGUGCUGGGGCCCGAGGGGUCCACGUCGGAGGAGGGCCACAGGAAUUGAGCGAGUGACAGACGCACCACCCAUCAAUGCUGCAACCUUGUAGGGCCUCCAUGGACCCUCUACGUGAGUGUAGAAUGAGCCAAGCAGACUCAAACACAGCAGCUAUUCCACAUGCAGUGGAAGAUAUUCAAGCAGACGACAGAUGGAUAUCUCAGCACAACAGAUUUGUCCUGGAUGGUAAAGACAAAAAGCCUAAUGUUCUGUUUGUUGGAGACCCCAUGAUGCAGUUAACGCAGCAACAUGAGAUAUGGCGAGAGCUUUUUUCCCCAUUUCACGCACUGAAUUUUGGAACUGAGGAAGAUACAAGACAUGUUUUAUAGAAACGAAAGAGUAGAGAACUGGAGAAUAUUAAACCUAAGGUUAUUGUUGCCUGGGUAGGAACAACCAACCAUGAAAAUACAGCAGUAGAGUUAGAAGGUGGGAUCAAGGCCAUCAUUCACUCUAUCAAUUUAUCAAUAUAAGGCAACCACAAGGCAAAAUUCUUGUAUUGGAAGUGUUACCUUGAGGUAAGAAGCCCAACCCUUUGAGGCAAAAGGUGAACUAGCUUCUCAAGGUUUCCUUGCUGAAGCUUGCCCAUGUGUAGGUCCUGCAUACAGAUAGGGGCUUCAUGCACCCUGACACUGCCGUCUCCUGCCAUGAGAUAUUUGAUUUUCUGCAUCUUACAGGAGAGGGCUAUGCAAAGCUCUGCAGAGCCCUCUAUGAACUGUUCGUGCAGCAGAUGGAGGAAACACCCAAGGAGAAACAAACCACCAUUGCCUGACUGGCUCCCAUCAGUGUUAAUCUCUUCCCAGCUUCCUUGAUCAGUUACGUCAUUGGUACUACAGAAUUCAUCUUUUUCUCAAGGCACUUUGCAUUGCAGAAUGUUCCUGGAUGUUUGCAUCUAGUGUUUGAAAGGGUAGAGGGAUUUACACUGGUCCUACAUGUAGAAGGUUUAGCCUAGGAAAAAAAAUUAGCCUAGGAAGAUUGUUGUUUAAAUUUAUAUGAAACCAGAAGGAGACUUUUUAGUUGUAUGUGUGAUGCAUUUGUUGACUUAUCACUGUUUUUUCUAGGACAAUAUCAAGUCCAAGUACUGAACAGUAUGAAGAUUUAUUUCUUGGCCUCGCUUUCUGUGGGUUAUAUCAUAUAUAAUAAUUAUCAGAAUCACACCUACUUGGCUUAAAAACAGAUUUUUAUUCUCAUUUUUAAAGAUCAUAAUUUAGCCUUUUUUCUUAUUUUGCUUUAUUCAUAUGUAUCCUCAAUAUUUUCUUAACAUGUAGCAACAGAUUGAACAUGCUUGCUAUUCAAAUAUGAGAGAUACUAUAGUUACAAGGGAAUUUGUUCCACUUUCUUAAUCCUUCCUAUGCUUAGCAGUGAAAAACAAAUUUUGCCCCAUGCGGGGAAUCCUUUGGAAGGUUUUUUGUUUCUGUUUGUUUGUUUUUUGUUUAGACGGAGUCUCAUUCUGUCACCCAGGCUGGAGUGCAACAGCAUGAUCUCAGCUCACUGCAACCUCUGCCUCCUUGGUUGAGGCGAUUCUCCUGCCUCAGCCUCCGGAAUAGCUAGGAUUACAGGCACCCACCACCACACCUGACUAAUUUUUUUGUGUUUUUAGUAGAGACGGGGUUUCACUAUGUUAGUCAGGCUGGUCUCAAACUCCUGACCUCAGGUGAUCCACCCGCUCAGCCUCCCAAAGUACUGGGAUUACAGGCGUGAGCCACUGCGCCCAGCUGGAAGGUAUCAUUUUUAUGUGGCUAAAUAUCAUGUCUAUAAUAAACCUAUGCCUGCAGUCUUUCCUCUUCUCUGAAAUAUUAGCCCCCACGUCACUCUUAUGCUAUUACCAAUGUAGAACUGAUUCUUUUGUGGUGUUCUGCACUGUAGAGUCUGCGUAGUGCUGCCCGUAUUCAGAGUUCUGGUAUGUUUUGUUUGUUUUCCCCUUAAAAUCUGUUAUAGUUUCCUUUUUUGGAAAAAAACAAAAAACAAAAUGAAAAAAAAAAAACUCUGCUUCCCAUUCCAUAAUACCUGCCAUUAUUUCAAGUGUUGUAAUAUCCCAAGGUAUAUAUUUUAUUUUUUUAAUUGACUUUGUUUUUAAAUUAAAGCAGUCCAGAAAAGUUUGGUCUUUUCCCAUGAGGAAACAAAUAAAACUGCUCUUCAUAAUACCCAUUCUGCUUUUAUCCCACCAGUUUAGUAAAAAAGAACCAGAUUUGUUUAACUUUUAAGGUUUCUCAUUAACGUACCUUCACCUGAGAUUUUCCUUCAAGAGAGCUCUUUAUGAUCUUAACAUUUGCUUGAGCUACAAGAACUGCCAUGUGAAAAUAAAUAAUGGGACAAUAGAUGGUAUAUUGUUCAAUAUACCUGCAGAAUAUGUAUAAACUGGAUGUACAGACAGAUAUUGUGAACUAGACCAGGUGGGUAUUGAAGUAACCCAUCAAAAUGUGCUCUGCAGUGAUUCUGCUUAAUGUUCAAAUUCAAUAGCUAAGGUGUAUGUGUUAUGUUCUGCUCACAAGGCAAAUGGCAGUGCCUUUGUGUGCUGGAGGAGGGGUUGCUGAUUGGUGCUAAAACCCACUUCUGAUUGAGAGGGAUAAAAGUUGGGCUCAAUUUUUUCUAGUCAAGACUCCUUCUAGAUUUGUUUUGUUUUUGUUUUUUUUUGUUUCUAAAAAAUACAUACUUUAAAAAUGUAUCAUGUCUUCAUUAAUAACAGAAUACACGUGGUGCUCACUAAAUUUGUUUACUAUGUUAAAAUUUCCUUUUUAUUUUUAGUAGUCCAGGUUCUUGAGUUUUUCAAGACAGAUUGUUGUUGUUGUUUUAACUGAGGUACAGUUGUAUAGGAAGGAGAAUUAAGCCAGAAUUUUGUGUGUGCAAAGACAAUUUCCUAUCCAGAUCUUUUUCUGUUUGUCAGAGAGUGAGAGUAUGGUCCAAAUAAACCCAACUGAGCAUGUGAUUUUAGCUUUUCUCUUGACGGAGGAUCAAAUAUCCCUUUGUGAGCUGGGCUUCCGCUUCUUUGCUUAUGUAUGUAAACUUCAAAUAUCGCUACAUUCUAGAUCUACCAUAGCUAUUCAGGCAACAGUAUUCUAAUAGCCAGCCUUUAAACAAAAAUCUGCCUCAUUACUAAUGUGCAAAAAAACAAAGAUAAAAAUAGGUCUAAUCCUAGGUAGAAAAGACAUUUUUCCAUUCUUCAAUAUCUCUAGAAAAGGAGAUUCAGAACCAUGCUAAGACAGAAUUUCAAUACUUACAUUGUUCUCAUCAAAGAUAAAUUCAUUCAUCUAACCAUCUUACAGAGUAAUCUUCGUUCUUGUUUUGUUCUUUCUAUAAAAAAAAUAAAGAUC